rnacentral:lncRNA from 1 species
UAUCAGGCCGCUGCUUUUGUUUCCAUUUCAUAUAUAAUUAGUAACAUGCUUACCAAUCAUAUGGUAUACCUAAGCAUCCAUCUCGGUCACCUGGGCUAAUAAUGCUCUCAGGUUUCCAUGCUAACGACGGUGGUUGAUAUGUUUUGUUUGUUUGUGUGGGGGAGGGGGUGUUUAUUUGUGGCACCAUGUUCGAACGACCUUGCAUGCAUGUGGGGCCUGUUUAAUUGCUGCCCUGGACUCCAAUCUCGGUCACAUGGACUAAGCUAAUGACGCUCUCAGGUUUUCCGGCCAGGCUAGCGUCAGAUUAUCCAGGGCACAAACAAAAUAAAGUAGAUGCAGAUCUUAGGGAAGUGCCUUGUCAGGCAUGUUUGCUCCAGUGAAGCAACCAAACAAGUUCAUUCUAUUUGUACUCAGCAAAGUUUGCACAACGCCUGACUUUUUUGAUAAAGAAAAGGAGUUCUGUAACGUGGUACUCAAAAAACCUUUCUUAUGAAAAUGUAUGUCGGCUAUCUAUGUAUAUACGACAAAUUACUAAUAUUUCAAUCUAAAUUAAGUUGGCUUAUGGGAAGUAAUAAUACAUAAUCAAUCUGGACGUAUACAAUGUUUAAAAUGUACAGAUACUUCACUUUCAGAUUUAUCAGACGGAAAACCAAUGCAUAACAUGAUCAGCUUAAAUAGAAUAAAACUUCACAUAAAAAUAUUUUAAGAUCUGUGAGUCGGAUCUUCCGUAAGUUUGCUUGUGUCAGUUCAUGAACUUGCAUGUGGCUUGGAUCAUUAGUUGUGUCCACAAAGGAGGAAAACGGAGAGGUUUUAAGUAGAAGUGGACAGUUUCAGCUGAAAACUUAACGCUGAAAACUAAACGAGCUAACCAAACAAGAUUAGUCCAAUUUCACACAAAAAAUUAGUUUGAUGUUUGGUUGUUCCUUCGGUUUUUGUCACUCGAAGACACACUACCAAAAUUACUGAUGUGAUUAAUUACCAUUUUUGCACAAAAGUGCACGGACAACACCAAGGCAAAACCAAGGCAAGGCCACAAACACCGGCGGAUCGUCGGCCCCCCUCCAAAGAGAAAAAUUGCAAGGAUGUGCUCCUGCUAAGCCUAAACCCCAUGCUAAUCUCCCGGCCUCUCUAAGUUCUCUAGCUGUUUUGGCCCCUCCUUGAGUUUCACUCGCGCGCCACUGGCCACAACACACCUAAUGUGCAAGAAUGGGCAAAAGCCUACCUACUAACCCAGCUAUAGUAACCUUGUUGGUUACUGCUGUCGCUUUCAAAAUGGGCAAACCAACUUUCCACUAAUAUCUUAAGAAAAGAAAAUCAGUUCAUUAUAAGGAGCAAGUGAGCUGGUGCACUGAAGGGAAAUCCUAUGGAGAUACUCGCACUCGAAACAACCAAUUGGAACAAAAACAUAUAGGUCAAUCCGAUCCAAAUUAAUUGAUGCACACUUAGUACAACUUUAUACUAAGUGUGUGCCAAUUAAUAUGAAUCCGGAGGUAGGACAGAAGGUUGAAGGCCCCCGCGUCGCUCUCUCCCCGGGGCGGCACGGGCGGCGACCGCCGCUCCUCCCGCGGCCUCCCCAACACCAGCCUCUUCUCUCCCUCGCCGUCGCCGGUGGCCUCUGGCAGGCAAAGCCUGCGCGGAGCCGGCGGCGGCGGGGCGGUCUCUGUAGCUGCUGCUCGCUAGGGAGGAGGGGCGCUCGCGUGCGGGUCGCGGCUGUNNNNNNNNNNNNNNNNNNNNNNNNNNNNNNNNNNNNNNNNNNNNNNNNNNNNNNNNNNNNNNNNNNNNNNNNNNNNNNNNNNNNNNNNNNNNNNNNNNNNNNNNNNNNNNNNNNNNNNNNNNNNNNNNNNNNNNNNNNNNNNNNNNNNNNNNNNNNNNNNNNNNNNNNNNNNNNNNNNNNNNNNNNNNNNNNNNNNNNNNNNNNNNNNNNNNNNNNNNNNNNNNNNNNNNNNNNNNNNNNNNNNNNNNNNNNNNNNNNNNNNNNNNNNNNNNNNNNNNNNNNNNNNNNNNNNNNNNNNNNNNNNNNNNNNNNNNNGGGGCGCCGGGGCGGCGGCCUCGGUCCGAGCUCCUGAUGUGGCCGGGGCGUGGACGGCGCGCGCUUGCGUGGCGGCGGCUCGGUUCCGGCUGUGCGCGUGGGGCGCAGCGACCGGCCGGGCGCGGUGGCUGCAGGCGCGUGUCGGGCUGGUGACCGGCUGUGCGUGGCAUGUGUGCUUCUCUGGAGUGCGAGGUGUGCUGCGGAGGGGAUCCUGCUCGUCUGCUCUGCUGCUUCGCAUGUGCAGCUCCGAUUGGAUCUGGUGCGAGGUGCAUCGAUCUGGGUGAUGCGCUUUGCGAUGCGGCGUGGGUUGCUGCGGUGGUGGUGGCCACGGUGGUGCUGCGGUGGUGGACGGCGGCUUCGGCCAGGGGGUGGUGCAUGUCAUGUCGCGGUGGAUCGUGGGAUCCCGUGGCCUGAAUGAGGUCGGCCUCAGUAGGUGGUGGCUGGUGGGCGGUGGUCGGUGGUGGUAGGUGGUCGGUGCAUCUCCAGGAGAAAUCUUUGCUUCGGCCUUCUUCGGAGCCGGCGAUGGUGGCGCCUGCGGGUGUCGUGAUCUUUCUUGGAAGUGUUGUCGUGGAGGUGUGCUCCUCCUCCCCACGGCUUUGGCUCCAGAGGGAAACCUCAGAUCCGCUGGGUCGGGCGAUGAAGGCGUCUUCGCGUCUUUCUCCUCCUUGGGGGCAUCGUCUCGGAGCCGGCUACGACUGGGAGACUGGUGGAUUGCGGCAUCUUCGCCGUGGAUGGCGGCAUCUUCGCCGCGUGGUUUGCUGAGGCGGGGCGCUGGUUUCUGUUUGGUAAUGAUGAUGGCGUCGAGAGGAGCUCGGGUCGCAGCGUGGACUUCGGUAGUCGGUUCUUCCCGGCGUGUCCGAGGUGCUCUUCUGUGGGCACGGUCGGUGCAAGUCUUGCAUAUUUUCCUGGUGAUGCUCGUUGUCAAAGUCGGAGCUGUCAGUUGCUUGCGCGUGUGGCCAUCCGGUGGCAUGUGCCGUCGUGGCUCCUAUACAGCUGUUUGCAGGUUGGCUUCGAGAUUGGAGCUCUAUGGUGAAGUCGGAGUCGCUCGUUCGAGGCAAUCAGUGAUGGCGAUGACGCUUGCGACUCCUCGGCGAAUGCCUUUCUUCUUUGCAGCUUUGUGUUCCAUGUCGGUGGCCAGGUUGGCCGGUGGUACCCAUGUCAUGUGGGUUGAGUUGUAUCGGUUUUAGCCCGGUUUUCCGCGAAUUAACCGGGCAAUUCUCUCUUCUUCUUAAUCAAUGAAAAUGGCAAAUCUUUUGCCUCGUUUCAAAAAUAAAUAAAUCCGGAGGUACUUUCUAUUGUUCAAGAUAUCUUGUUAUUACAGUAAAAGAACACAAAAUCACUAGGAACAUCCAAGCCAAUACUUAGGGAAAUUCAGCGAGUUAAGUGCACAAAACCACCACAUUAAAGGCUAGAUUUAUAAGAAACAUCCCUGUACAAUUUUGUUGCGAAAAAACACCAUGGCUAUGGUGAUCUUUUUUGCAUAAACCACCAAUCGGCAACUUAGGGCAUUUUAAUGACUUCUCCGAGGUGAGGUCCAUCCAUAAGUGUCGAGGUGGCAGCUUGUAUGCAUGUUACAUUGAGAUAGACGUGUGACCCAUCACUCAGCUGGGUCAUCUUUUUCAGUUCCCUCUCCCCUGUUCUCCUUCAGUUGUACACAUGCUCGCCAGUAGCAGCACGCACCCUGCGAGCAGCAGAUUGACAACCAAUCCAUUCCUCUCUCGUUGUUCCCCCACUGCGUGCCCUCGACCUCUUCUUCCUCACUGCCUCAUUCAUCUUCACCUUUCAUGGCCAGGUCGUCGGUGUUACUGGGACAUCUUUUGAUGUUGUCCUUGAACUGCUCGAGCGUAGCAGCCUCACACACGAACUUCUUGACUUUCCCCAAAAAAAAGGCACUCUAGCAGAGUCGACAUAUCUAUUAGAUCUGCCAAAAUUUAUGAAGCACCCUGCAUAUCUGGCCUUCAGGUUCCCUAUUUGUAGUCUCGGGGCCAUCUUUUGAAGCGCUCUCCAAAUGGAAGUUGCGUGUGGCGCAAAGGACUUCACGUGAUCUACCGCCUCAUAUGGGAGGACAUGGAUAUUUGGGAAAAAAAAUAUGUCCAACUGACAAGUCGACCUAGAGUCUUAGUUUCCACAUCACCUCAGCAACCUCCAUAUACUGCAUAUAGAGGCUCUGCUAGAGUUGCUCUUAUUGGGUGAUAGAUCCGACGCGGCAUAAGUCAUUGUGAAUUUGUGAUACCCUAUGAGCUGGGUACCCGGUAUGGCCGGCGCUGGCUAGGUCCUACUGUCAGUCCCAGUUAUCUUGCCUGGCUAGCAAGAGUUAGGCAGUUAUUACUACACCAAACCGUGUGUUUCUUGCACUUAAUGUGUGUUCUAGUGCAAUGUAUGUCCAACUAUACUUGGUAUAGACCAUGCGUCGCCGUGAAAUUAAUGACGACCGUAGUGUACACGGAUCAGGGGACGACGGGGGAAAUAAAUCUGCGGCUAUGUGAACCUGUCUACGUCUGGACAAAUACAAUGCAUGCAUCGCCGUGAAAGGGAUCACGCGAGUGGCACCUGACACCAACUAAAGGCACGGCCCGUGCUCCAUGCAUGAGAGAAAGGGGAGGAGAAAGAGAUAGAGGUGGUGCUUCUACGUGUUUCUAGUAAUCUUCUACGGCCAAUGCUCCAGGCUGGUAUGUAAACAAAGCAGGUGAAAAUGCCAGGGAUUCAAGGAGAUGAUAAUCUUGUUUGGACCAGGGUUGUGGUUGGAAAGGUGAUGGGUGUGCAGCUACCGGCCGCCUACUGGCCCGUGCCUUCGUGGGGGUAAUGCCCAAUGGGUAGGUGUGGUGCCCGCGUAGGCCAUGACAUAUCAGCGCGCGUGCGGCGCGAGGACGACCGGGAAGCAACGCCGGCCAUCAUCACUCAUCAGUGUGCCGACCAACAAGCGGCGCCGUGUGGAGCAGCCGCGAACGAACGAACGCGGUAGCUGUCGCGUUGAAGGAGCAAAAACAAAUCGCAAGUCUCCCACGCCCCAGCACGUGGGCGGGCUGUCCAUUAUUUUAUGCAUGGGACUCUCUAUAAGUAUGAAAUCACCGACGACCCGGAAGGCCAUCAAGCAGCAGCAGCAACAGGAUCGGAGCUCCUCAGCUGCGCUAGCUAGUUGCCGUCCGAAUACGUCUGUGGACUCUUGUCCUCGGCUCCUCAAAGCUACAGUGCGAGCAUGGGUGGCGAGGACGCGCCGGGUCGGCUGGAGAGCAUCCUGACGGACACGUCGGCGCCGCUGGCAGAGCGCGCGUGGGCGGCGGGGGCCGUCGAGCUCCGGAUGCUGGCGCGCCUGGCGGCACCGGCGGUGGUGGUGUACAUGAUCAACUAUGUCAUGUCCAUGUCCACGCAGAUCUUCUCCGGCCACCUGGGCAACCUGGAGCUCGCCGCGGCCUCGCUCGGCAACACCGGCGUCCAGACCUUCGCCUACGGCCUCAUGGUACGUGCGGACUCUAAAUCAUUCGCGUGUGAAUCUGUCCUGGUGACCUUCCCCGCGUUUGUGUUUCUCUGCCUGCUUGGUAUACUUCGGUUCCAGCACACGCUCCAUGCCUCCAUCUCGCAUAACCCACGGCUUACACGAAGCGUGAACAAUGUCUCUUAGAUUAUGACGUGUGCAAGGGUGGAUUAGUGGGCGUAUCGUAUGGAGUGUCGUCCGGCUACACGUAAUGCUUCACUUUUCUUUAUUGCCAAGAGUCAAGCUUGUGCGUCAUGGUUAAAUUUGUUUAUGGACAUGAGAGCUUGAUGGAUUGCAAACCAGCAAACAAGGACAUGGAGAUGUGUUGCAGAGUUGAGGAGUUCUCGAUUCAGCUGCAGCCCGCAGCCGGCAGAGGUCAUGAGCAGGGGCCAGACCAUCAGGAAGGCGCGAAGGGCAGGAGUGGCAGGCUCGAGCGGGGAGGCAGACGGCGACGAGUGGUGGAGCCGAGUCUGGGCGCAGCGCCGCCGCCGCCGCACACACAGGAGGAGCGGGGAUCGUAAUUUAUUUAGGGUUCAGGCUUGGUUCGAUAGGAAAAUUGUGGGGAGGCCCCAGAAGUUGGAUUGGGCCAAAAAAAGUUUAAACUGUGCUGAAAAUUUUGGUCGACUAAUACAAUUACCGGGCCUAGGCGAGAUGGACGAAAUUCGGCCGAAAUUUAAUUUUUUUUGGCCGAAAAUGAAGACACGACCCUCACUGCCACCGGCCAUUUUUAUCCGGUGAUGACAAGGAGAACAUGGUGGAAGUAGAGAAAACGCCUAGGGGAGGGGGCGGUAGAGCACCCGAGCUAUCCCUAGGAGCAACUUGAGUACAUUUUAACCUCUUGGAGAGUGCACAAGUAUGAUCGUCAUGCACUGAAAGCCACCAACUAUAAUAUCCAUUCAGCUAUAAUUUAAACACCUCGAGAUUACAACCAUCAUUAGUUGUUCAUCUUAAAAUCAAUGCUAGGCUGCAUGCAUCACUCUGAUGCAAUGCAGAGGCCGGAGGCUAUCCUCCUUUUCAAAAAUAAUAAUAAUCAUAAAUCAAUGUAGACCUAUUUGAAAAAAAAGAAUAACCCGGAGAGAAGAAAAUAUUUGUUUUGUUGACAUGAGGUGGAAGAGAACAUGGUAGAUAAUAAUGGAAAGAGUAGGACAUCCAGAAAUGACAUCUAAUAUAUGUUGGUUCCUGUCUAUGGAACUCAUCAUGCACAACACAAACAAAUGCAACAAACAACAAGACAUCUAUGGAUGAGCUAAAUUAAGCAUGUAAUAUCAUGAUGAUCCGAGCAAUAGCAUGAUGAAUCAUUGAUUUUUUUUAGAGAGAGAACGGACCAUUGAAAUUUCCUAAAUGCUUAAUAGUGCAGCUGCACUAUUAAACAUUUCUGAGCGCUCGCUCUUCCACCUGUUCGAUUAAAAGGUGACCAUAUGAUGGAGACAUAGGAAACAUCAUUUUUUUUGUCAGGACGCGGCCCGCGCAGAGAGGAUAGAGGAAUACUAACACAUGUGGACGCAAGUAUUAACUGCAUGCAUGUACUGAUGUCAUUUCAUUUUAUUCCGUUCAUUUCUUUUUCUAAAAGCUACAACUUUCGAACCGAUUGUCAGGACGAAGAUCCGUUUUCAUCGUUAGGUUUCUCGUGAGGAGCUCUUCAAAACUAGAUCCUAUAGUGCUAUGUUUUGAUGAUUUAAAAAAAAGCAACUUUGAUGCUAGAUGAGGCAACUUUAGUUCUAAUCAGAAGCAACUUUCUUAUACCAUGUGUAUAGUGAAUUUACCUAGUAAGUAUGUUGUAUACAACUUAGAAACCAUGGUAGACAACUUUUUAUCAUAUAUAGGCAACUAGGUAUCAUUGGUAGGCAACUUUAGAAUUACAUGGAGGCAACUUUUAGCACUAAAGGAGGCAACUCGCUUAUCAAGGUAUAUACAACAUAUAUUAUCCAUUCCAUACAUGGCCCUAUAAUCAUGUAUCCAUGUUUUGUAAAUGCAUGGUAAUAUUUUCUCCUAAGUUGUUUACCGUGGUUAUGAUGUUGUUGAUAUAUGUGGACUAAAUUUGAUUAGUGUUAGAAAAAUAAAUAAGAUAAGCAACUUCACUCCAUUUAAAAGCAACUAGUAAACAAUUAUAGGCAACUAAUUAGCAACAGUGAAUAACUUUGAAACAUAGGUAGGUAACAUCACAUCGAUUUUCAUAACCAAUGUUCCUUCUACAAGUGGCAACUUUAGUACUACAAGUGGUAACACUCUUCUAACUUUCUCACUUCUACUUAUAAGUUUCCUAUUGUUGACGCUCUUAUGUCAUUACUUAUAAUUUUCCUAUAAUACUUUGAAGUCGUUUACCAUUGUUGUUGAGGUGUUGUCAUUGCUAGUUAGUUGCUUACCAGGUGUACUAUGGUCAUACAGUUACAUGUCAUUGUUAAUUAGUUGCCUACAAUACCCGAAUAGUUGUUCAUCAUUGUUUCUUAAGUUGUCUAUCUCCGAAGCACAAUGUUAAGAUACUCACUGGUUAUAGUAGGGAACUUAGAUGUGAAACUAGUCAACUUGGCUGUCAUGGUAGCCAACUUAGAAGGUUUUUUUGUUGAUAGACAGUCAUACUGACAAACAAAUAAGAAGUUGCUUUCCUAGAGUACUAAAGUUGCCUCUAUAGCAUCCAAAGUUGCUCGAGAGAAAAAAAUCAUCCAAACCCAUCCAUACGAGAUCUAGUUUUGAAGAGCUUGUCAAAAGAAACCCAACGAUGAAAACGGAUCUGAAUAUUGAUACUCAAAUAAAAAAUUACGACUUUUUAAUUCUUUUGAAACCCCCUAAUAAAUGCACAUGGGACAAGAUCUUAUCCUUUCCGGCUAGAAUCUGCAAGGUAAGUAAGCAAAGGGGGACGGACAUCAUGUGCUUCUCUAACUAAAAGUAGGACUUUCCUUUUCUGGUAGGUGUGCUCGCAGCCUCCGACGAGCGCAGGGGCGCUGUCUAGCCAGGUCCUUGAAAUUCAUAUGCAAUAACUAAUAGCACGAUGAGCUGGGCACUCGAGCACCUCCUUACCAAAAGAUGAUUCUAGUUAUAUAGAAAGUUAAGAUAAGAUCGAUCCUACCGCUUAAUCAGUGUUUCUGAUGCAACGUAUGUCCAGCCAUAAUUUUGCUAUGGAAACAACGUUUCUGAAUGCAACAUCAUGCUGGCUAAAAUGAUGGCCAUGCUCCCAUGUGUAUGGCAUCAUCGCCCGCACAUGGUGUCCAUACCUACCUACUCACCCACGGAUCGGGUGAUGAAGGAGAGCCACCGGACAGGUCGCGCCGGUGGCAGCCCAGCUACUAUUGUCAGAUAGUGGCCCGGCGACAGCAGGCUCGUGAACCUCGUGGGUGCGCGUGGACGGCGACUUGGAAAGCAGUCCGGCCGUGGUCUGGCCAGACAGCCAGUCUCACCGUCGGCACUGCCGUCGGCGGGAAUCCAGGCCUGUUAUUGACGGUGCCGUCAGUGGGAGUGAGUGAUCAGAAACCAAUCUGGAAAGAGCCAAGCCAAUCCACUAUUUAGCCGGCCGGAGCGUCAACGCCAAGAGGGCACACACACACAUGUACUGUACGAGCUAGCUAUAGACCAUAGCUCCGUAGCCUCUCUCGUCCUAACUAGCUGCCAAACCUCACGAGCGUCAUGGCUCGCGGGGACGAGCAUGAGCAUGAGCAUGAGCAUGGCGCGUCGUGUCUGCUGGAGAGCAUCCUGACGGACACGUCGGCGCCGCUGGCGAGGCGCGCGUGGUUGGCGGGGGCGGUCGAGCUCCGGCUGCUGGCGCGGCUGGCGGCGCCGGCGGUGGUGGUGUACAUGAUCAACUUCGUCAUGUCCAUGUCGACGCAGAUCCUGUGCGGCCACUUGGGGACCCUGGAGCUCGCCGCCGCCUCGCUCGGCAACUGCGGCGUCCAGACCUUCGCCUUCGGCCUCAUGGUAGGCAGUCGCACACACUACGUUUGUCCAGCCGACAAUGGAGUAGGCCUCAUGGUACCUUCACCCCUCCCAUGUCGAGGUCGGAGCAAUGCUUCGUGUAGAUCGAAAUGUUUGUUCACCCGACGAGUAGCGUUUGUGUUUCUCUUCCCGGCCGGCGUACUUGGAUGCCAUGCUCAUUGAGAGCUGAGAGCACAUGCUUGGGCACAUUACUUCUCCCUUUGUUAAAAACACUCUUAUAUUAUGAAACGGAGGGAGUAGAUUCUAAUAAUCCUGUAGCUGGGUAGAUAGGAUUAGGCCAAGUGCUGUUUCCUGUUACAGUAAGUACUAGAUUAGACUAUUGCAACCCUGGAGUGGAUUAGCCUAUGACGUCGUGUGCUUAUUAGAAGAGGUGGAUUGGAUUAGUGGGUGUACUACUAGUACUACUAGAUUGGAUUAGUUGGAGAGCAUCACUAGUUACUAGAUGCAUGGAGUGGCCUUGGCAUGGCACAUGGCAGGCCCAUUUGGCACAAGCCAGUCAUUCAAACCCACUUGGUACCACCUCCGUGGCCCCGUCCUCCCCUGCCUCUUCACUUUCUUGCUGGGCCGUCUCUGCACCGUCCACGUAGGCGUGAAUAUGGUCUUCUACUCGCUCCGUUCCAAAAUAAAUAACUCAACUUUAUACUAAAAUUAGUACAAAAUUAAGUCACUUAUUUUUAAAAGGAGGGAGUAGGAGCCCUAGCGGGUCCGUGGAAGGUGGUUGGUAAGAGUCAAGGAGAGAGGUAAUGUCGGGAUAUGCACAGUGACAGCAUUAAAUAAAUGCAGGUGUUUCUGGGUCCCACCUGCCUAACAGUCGCUUGAUAGCAGGCUUGUCUUCAGUUUAACUUAAUCAGUUUCUGGCAAAAGACGUGGCCUGUCCCAUCAGUUUUGGAUUCUUCUUCUUCUCUCUCACCUACCAGCAAAGAAAAUAAAAGAAAAUUCUGUACUGUUGUGGCAUUUAUAUAUUCUCCUUUCUCGAUCAAUGGAUAGCAUACACGGCUAGGGAGGUGAUGGCCACAGCCCACCCACUGCUUAGACGGAGCGUGACACCCAUAUUUCCUACGUACAACCACUGGUAGAUUAGACUAGAUUGCGCGGGACAGGUCUAUGGUUGGCAACGCCUAUUUGGCAUGCACAACUAGGGCCAGUCAUACAUACUCCCUCCGACAAAGGCAAACAAAAAAAAAAUACUCCCACCGUAUCAUAAUUUAUUUGUUUUAGCAGUUUAAUUUAAGCUGCUAAAAUGACAUAUAUUAUGGUAUAGAUGAAGUACAUGGUGUGUUCUUCAUGCAUGGUCGAAAGCGAGAUGCCACCUCCCACUCCGAAAGAACCUUUCUGCACCCACGAGCAAAUGCUCCUGGUGUGAACAGUAAAACAAAAAAAAUGAAAAAAUUCUGAAAUUUUUUAGUGACAUACUUUCACAAAUAUUUGUUGUGCAUGCAAAAUUUCAUCACGAAAUCAUAUUGGUAGAAGUCGUGCCAAAAAAACAAAAUCAAAGCUCCAAAAUGCUUUUGUAAGUAGUAACAUUUUCAGAGCAUCAAUUUUGUUUUUUUUACCACGCCUUCUACCAAUGUGAUUUUGCGAUGAAAUUUUGCAUGCACAACAAACACUUGCGAAAGUAUGCCACAAAAAAAAUUCAAAAUUUUUUGUAUUGUUUUUGAAUAUUUUUGAUGUUACUGUUCACAGCAGGCGCAUUUGCUCCUGGUCCCUCCAACUCUCUCUUCUUUCAUCUAGAUCCAUACACGUGAUCUUCUUUCCUGGCUUCUUUCCUUGUCAAUCACAUGCCACAUGGUGCUUAGUUUGUACACUUCCCUCUAGACCUGCCCACAAGAUUUAGAUCUUCCCCUCUCUCUUCCCAUCCAUUGUGGUCUCUACCCUUUCAGGCGUCUUCAAGUGCUUGGACCGUUCCAAUUAUCGACUAUAUGGUCCUAAAAAAGAUAACGUUGUGCCCACAUCAAUAAGUGCAGUGUGUCUCCUUAAGUCAAGGCAGUACAUACUACACUAUUCUCUCUGUUUUUAUUUACUCCACAUAUUAGGUUUAUAUAAAGUCAAACAUUAUAUGCUUUCAACGAGUUUGUACAAAAACAUAUUAACAUACACACCACCAAAUAUGUAUCAUUGGAUUCAUCAUUGCAUAUAUUUUUACAUCAUAUAAAUUUGUUACUGUGAAUGUUCAUAUUGUUUUUUAUAAAUUUGGUCAAACUUUAUAAAAUUUGACUUCAGCCUAACCUAAUAUGCAGAGUAAAUAAAAAUGGAGUGAGUAUUUUUAACAUGUCAUCACGGCUUACAGAUUUUGAUAAUUAAGGUAACUUCCACCGAAACAAAUUACCAAUUUCUGUGCAGAACACACCAGAGGUGAUUAUGUCAUUAUUUUUCUUCAUGACGGUGUACUGCCAAUUUCUAAGCGGGGCGUGGCCAAAUGACGUGACCUGCCCCACCAGUCUUGGAUUGGACUGUUGUCGUCGCGUUUAUAUAUUCUCCUCUCUCAAUCAACCAAUCAAUCAAUCGAUAGCGUCCGACAAGAGCUAAGCUCAUUUGUUUAUGGGCCAGAGGUUGAUGGAUUGGUAUUGCUCGUCGGCACCUAUACCUCGCCCUACUUAAGAAAAGUCCCAUGUCAUAUCGAAUGUUUGCGCUCUAAUCUUAACUCUAAAUGCUGUUUCGACCCCACUUGGUAAUCGUGGUGGUGUAGCUGUCUGCUCUCCAAGGACGCUGCACAUAAAUGAAAAUCCGGACUCAGCGACUAGAUGCACCUACCCAGUAAUGAUGCAAGACACGUAUUAUAUUCGGAGUCCUUGGAUUCUCAAUGUGCUUCUUGAGAUUAAUAAGGUGCCUUAACUGUUAUUUUUAGUUGGUCAACAGUUUAUCUUCUCUGUUUAAUUUCCAAAAAAAAAAGAAAAUCUAGCAAACAACAAACCAAUUGAACCGCUUUCCUUGUUUAUUGAAAACAUAAGUAGAUGUUGUUUCUAAGAAACAUGCAUAACCGUUUUGUAAGUAAUUAGGAUGUAAGAAGAAAAAAAAUAGAUGACAAUGGAGGGAGCAGUAUGAAACUCAUGAUGAUGAAUUUGAUCAAGAGAAAUGAAGCUCCAUGAAAUUAACACCAACUGAACAUGAAAGAGGAACAAAAUUAAGGCUGUAGUGCUACAACAUAGUGCACUUUGCUAGAUCAUUGUGAGAAAUAAUACUAGUUGCUACCAGUUUUGCCUUUCCUCAUUGUGUUUUCCAUGGACUCCUAAUUUUAACCAAGAUCUAAGCUAUAAGUUAGCUAGAAUGCAAUCUGUGACAGCCCUAACAAUUAAGACAUUACGUUUUUGUUUUUGCAGCUGGGCAUGGGAAGUGCAGUGGAGACCCUCUGCGGGCAGGCCUACGGUGCCCACAAGUACGACAUGCUCGGAAUCUACCUACAGCGCUCCGUCAUUCUCUUGGGCUUAACCGGCAUACCACUUGCUGUGAUGUACGCUUUCUCGGAGCCACUCCUCUUGUUGAUGGGACAGUCACCCGAGAUAGCCCGUGCCGCAUCGAUCUUCGUGUACGGCCUGAUUCCUCAGAUCUUCGCGUACGCCGUCAACUUCCCCAUUCAGAAAUUUCUGCAGGCCCAGAGCAUCGUCCUGCCGAGUGCUUACAUCUCGACGGCAACACUCAUUCUACAUGUGAUGCUGAGCUGGGUGCUAAUGUACAAGGUCGGCCUUGGGCUGCUCGGUGCCUCGCUGGUGCUGAGUGUGAGCUGGUGGAUUAUCGUCGGAGCGCAAUUUGUGUACAUUGUCGUGAGCCCGACAUGCCGACACACAUGGACGGGAUUCAGUUGGCAGGCCUUCUCCGGUUUGCCGAGCUUCUUCAAACUCUCCGCCGCAUCUGCUGUGAUGUUGUGCCUUGAAACAUGGUACUUUCAGGUGCUUGUGAUCAUUGCUGGAUUGCUCCCCAACCCUGAGAUUGCCCUGGAUUCCCUCUCUGUAUGGUGAGUAUCAUUGGACUUUGAGUCUUGCUAUUAUUCCUAGUAAUAAGUCUGCAAAGUUGGUGCUAAUUAACUUGUGAUGCAUGUGUGGGCGCUAAUUAACUUUGUGAUGCAUGUGUGCAGUAUGACGAUUUAUGGUUGGGUGUUCAUGAUCUCCGUUGGGUUCAAUGCUGCUGCAAGGUUCGCAAGUCUAUACUCAAAGGCAUUGAUAAACAUUAGCAUUGGUUACUGACAACUACUCCCUCCGUCCCAUAAUAUAAGAACAUUUUUGACACUAGCGUAGUGUUAAAAACGUUCUUAUAUUUUGGGACAGAGGGAGUAGUUAAGUACUCUAACUAACUAAUUGAUACGUUUUCACUUCAGUGUAAGAGUGAGCAAUGAGCUUGGCGCCGGCAACCCCAAGUCUGCAUUUUUCUCUGUGUGGGUCGUGACCGGGCUCUCUGCAACAAUCUCAACCAUCCUUGCUGUUGUGAUCCUCUGCCUCCGCAACCACAUCAGCUACUUGUUCACAGAUGGUGAAGCAGUUUCGGACGCGGUAGCAGAUCUCUGCCCAUUGCUCGCCAUCACACUCGUUCUCGGUGGCAUCCAACCUGUACUGACAGGUACUUUUAGAAACUUUCUUCUUGACGGAAUGUGCUAUCUUCAUUCUUGUAAGGUCCAUUAGUACAACUUUCCAGAGAAUGUUCAUGGCAGGUGCAUUAUUCAAGCAGCAGGAGCUUAUAUCCUUGGCCCAUCUAUGUUUUGUUUAACGUUACAAUUCCUAUGAUUUAGUUUCUUUAUUCAAUCUAUAUUUUUUAAUCAUAGUUACUGAAUUCUAACGUACCAGUGGUAAGAGAUGACCCACACCUCUAUCUUAAAUGACUGUAGACUCUUUCGUAUAUGCAUCAGUAUGAUUCUGCGUCAAUUUUUAUUGGAUAUUUGUGGGGCAACUGCGUAAUAUGUAUUAAAAAUAGCUCUAACUUGUUUAAAGCGUGAAGUUCUCUCCCAAGUUCCAGGCUUGUCAUUUAUAGUUUAAUGUUGGCAAGUGAAUUGAAACCUGCGGCCAUGCGCAAACUAUUAUGCCAACCCUGUUAUUUUAGGGCUAUAGUAGGUUUCCGCACCGUGAUUUGAUUACUUUUUCUAGUAUCAAAGUACAAGAAAAGAAUAGGGUAAUACAAGGUGUAGGCCCUUAGGGAAAAAAAGUGAAGGUACAAAUGAGGGAAACAAGUCUACUGUUUUUUGUGAUGCAUAUUUUCUCUCUUGAGAUACCACAUAUUCAUGGUGAUUGAAGUUUACUGACAUGCAUGGAAACAUCAGGUGUUGCUGUUGGAUGUGGAUGGCAACAAUUUGUUGCUUACGUGAACGUCGGCUCUUACUACAUUGUAGGCGUUCCACUUGGUGUUGUUCUCGGUUUUUUCUUCAAUCUUGGUGCAAAGGUGAUGGAUCUGUCUAAAAUUUUCAUCUACAUUCCAUGAUGACAAAGUCUUCAGUUCUGUGUUCUAACUUGUGUUGAUGGAAUCGCAUGCCUGCUUGCAGGGUAUUUGGGGUGGCUUGAUUGGGGGAACAGCCUUGCAGACGGCCAUUCUGCUGUGGGUCACCAUCAGAACUGACUGGUCCAAAGAGGUAUACCUUAUUACUUUUUUUUGCGGGAUAAGGUAUACCUAUAUACCUUAUUACUACAAGCGCAGAAAGUUGAAUUUACAUUUUCAUUCUUUUAAAUGAAAUUUUAAAUGAUGAAUACUAAAUUAACUCCCUGAUGUCCGAGGAUACAGUCUAUCUUUCGCCGUCGCCAUAGAUGUUGUCAUAAAUGUAACAUAAAGACAUGUUGCUUGCUCAUCGUCGUUCCUUCCAUCACAUAAUUUAUAACCUUCUUGAGGGUGUAUGCUUGAUGCAAACUUAUCAAAUAUAUGUGUUGAAAAAAAAUUAUACACUAAUUAACCCGUAGUGGUUUAUUGUGUACAUUCUUCAGGUAGAGGAGGCACAGAAAAGGUUGAACAAGUGGGACGAGAAGAAACAGCCUCUCCUUGCAGGGUUCAACGAUAAUGACAAAUAAGUGGACCAGUCUAGAUGUGUGUUUCACUUGAACGAUGCAGAAGUGUGCUGGCUAUGAGACUCACAGUCUUCGUGGGUGUGAGUGGCUGAAUUCAGGUCCCUUGAUUCUCGUGUAGAUUAUCAGAGAGUUUCUGUCUCAAUUUUUGGUGGACAAGCCAGUGAUGGGCUUGUUAGUAUAUAUACGGUAGGCUUGGUUAGCAUGUUACAUCUUUCUUUUGUCCAAUUGUCUUUAAGUUAUGUGUUUCUCCUUCUUUCUUGGGAGACCAUUAUUUGGCGUCUUUGUGAUUAGCUUUGGCAUGAUGCAGAAGCGGGUAAUUAAAAGGGUGUGAAGUUUUGGACAGGAGCCCGGAAUUUGGAAUUUGGAAAUCAUGUGAAAAUGCUAUUUUAUAGUACUAGACAAUUUCUCCGCAUUGCUAAGGGUUAUAAAUAUUCUAGUAUGUUAGCCCGUGAUUUACCCUCCCAUGUUACUGUGAUUGUGUAAAUGAAGUAGGCUUUUGUUUGAUAAACACUCAUUUGGUAACUUUGUUGACUUAUCAGAUAAAACACAAUUUUAUUUUAUAAGUCAAUAAUAGGCAUGACAAUUGAGGUGGUUUCAGAAAAAAUAUCGACAGAAAAAGCAGAGACGAAAGGGCAAAAAUCAAAACAAAAAGAGGGAGUGAGGAAUUUACUAGGUUAGACCAAGGAGAACCGAAGGACACAACUUUACUUUAAAAGAAAUAGGAGAGAUUUUCAAGUAGAAGUGAUAUCCUCUCCACAUGCACGAGCUUUCUUCAUCAACCUUGUUGCACCGUUCAUCAUGUGAGUAGUCGUCGUUAGACUAUGGUCCAUAACAGUAGUUAUGUGACUGUGUCCAUGAUACUCCCUCCAUUCUAUAAUAUAGUGCGUCCAAGCUUUUCGAGGUUUAACAUCGGCCAUAAAUUUAAUCAACGUGACCGACUGCGGUGGGAACAAAAAUUAUACCAUUAAAAAAAUUCAAUGGUAUAAUUUUUAUUUCCGCCGCAGUCGCCCAUGUUGGUUUAAUUUAUGAUCAAAGUUACAACUCGAAAAUAUGAGCGCACUAUAUUAUGGAAUCAACAGAGUAGUAGUUAUGUGGCAUGUACUCUCUCACGUUCUUCAAUGCAAAGAUCACGUGAGCCGCGUAACAUGAUUGUGAUCAAUUUCAUGCAUUCUUGGUGUAUUUAUUACCAUGUGAUGAGUUGUCUCCACUAGUAGAAAAAGGGUCUAAUGUGAAACUCAUUAGUCCCGGUUUGCAAUUGAACCGGCACUAAUGUGACCAUUAGUGCCGGUUCCAACGGCCAGGUGGGCGGCGCUCAUUAGUACCGGUUCGUGGCGAACCUUUAGUACCGGUUCGUGCCACGAACCGGUAUUAAAGAGGUGGUGGCCUUUAGUACGGGUUGGUGGCUCCAACCGGNNNNNNNNNNNNNNNNNNNNNNNNNNNNNNNNNNNNNNNNNNNNNNNNNNNNNNNNNNNNNNNNNNNNNNNNNNNNNNNNNNNNNNNNNNNNNNNNNNNNNNNNNNNNNNNNNNNNNNNNNNNNNNNNNNNNNNNNNNNNNNNNNNNNNNNNNNNNNNNNNNNNNNNNNNNNNNNNNNNNNNNNNNNNNNNNNACUAAAGGUGGUGGCCUUUAGUACGGGUUGGUGGCUCCAACCGGUACUAAAGACCCCCCCCCCCUUUAGUACAGGUUGGGGCCACCAACCGGUAUUAAAGGUGGUGCGCUGCCACCCGCAGUGCACAAUGUUUAGUCCCACCUCGCUAGUUGAGAGGAGCUCGCACCGGUUUAUAAGCCCCGCCGCGGCUACCGUGUCGAGCUCCUCUCUAAGCAGGCCUUUGUGGGCCUAUUGCAAGUCUUCUGUCCUGUGGGGCCUACUGGGCCGUACGGACCUGCAUCCUGGCCCAACUAGAGAUUGGGUUUCUAGUCAUAUGAAGGCGGUGCCAGCCCAGUAGGCAGGCUGUUUUUGCUUUAUUUCAAAAAUAAAAAUAAAAAAAAUCCUUACCAAACGGGACUAAAGGUCCCCAGACCACGGCGCGCCUCGUGCCACGUGGUGGGCCUUUGGUCCCGGUUCGUGUUGAACCGAUACUAAGGGGGGGGGGACCUUUAGUCCCCACUCUUUAGUACCGAUUCCAGAACCGGUACUAAAGGUCCUUACGAACCGGUAUUAAAAGUCAUUUUUCUACUAGUGCUCUUUUAUGAUCUGAUUAUUUAUGAAUUUUUAUUUUCCUUUACUUUUGGUUUUAGCUGCAUUGUUUAAAGAUGUACAUGCUCUUCUAUUAGUUUACUAGAUGAUACCCCGCGCGUUGCUACGGGAAUUGGUUGCAAAAUAUUUAAGUGAGAUUUUUCUUCUUUUGUAGGAAUAUGAACAUUGGUAAUGAAAUGACAAACUGGAAUUGAAAAUAAUAUAAUUUAUUGUACUUAAGUAUGUUGUAUAGUUUCAAAAUAUCCAUUACAUAUAAGUAGCAUAAUAGAAUGCAUGGUGGGUCUAUACCCAUGCAUGAAUAUGCCAGACUAUUUCAGAAAAAAACAAAGUGUAUAGUUGGAUUAUCAUAGUAAACAGUAAGGAUGAUUUGAGGGAGCAUCUCCCAUCUGUGCAGUUUUGUAUAGUAUGGUUGCACUUAGUUUUUCUCACGUUGUUAUUCCCUGAACGUAGCAGUGUCGGUGGAAUUAAAAGCUGGCAAUGGACUCCGAAUAGAAAUAUAUAAUCCAUGGAAUUACUCUGGUGGAUAAGUUAAGUGUCAUCCUCAAAGUGACUGAAGUUUUGCAAUGAUAAACAUUAGGUGGAUUGAGGAGUCGAGAAAAUAAAUCUUAACCGGUCAGUCAUAUGUGCGAUCCUAAUCAAAGGGGUGUGAUAUCAUAUUGAUAUGGGAAUAUUAUAAGAGAAUGGAAUAUUAUAAGAGAAUGCCCAGACAACAGUGUAUACCUUGAUGUUUCAUGUUCUCUUUAUAUGACUGGGCCACUCGUGUAAUGUCGCAGUUCUCUUUAAACUAUGAUGUUUGUCUAUCUCACUUGGAUGCAUGGAUAACUUAUCAUAGUUUAAAAAGUAUUGAAGACUGAAUCAUUUCUAUACGAUUUUUAGCACGUACUUACAAAUUCAAUGAAAAAAUGACAGGAACGAAAAUUUGUCAGAAACACACACAACAUAUGCUUACUUUUAUGCCAUCCAUAUUUAAGCCGCCAACUUCUUACGUUUUCUCUCAGGCUUGUGACUAUAUUCUAUGAUAAUAUAACCAAAGGGAUGUUAAAUGCACUAUAUAUUUGGAAAUUAAAAUGUUCAUCAUUCAUACCAAUUCAAAAGUAGAGAAGGUUGUCGGCCAUCAAUGUCGUGUGAGAUCAUAAUGAUUUGGGUAAAAUAUAAAAGAAUGCCUAGAAUGUUCUGUAUACCUGUGGGCAUAAAGGAGCAAACCAUGUUAUUGCUAGAACAUCUAGAUUACAGAAUAGAGAUAAUCACAAAGUGACUAUAUUAACCGUAAAAUUCUUGAAAGGAUCAUCUCAUCAUACAAAGUAUAGUGUUAAUCUCUGCGGAAGAAUGGGGUAUGGAGCAAGAAGAAACCUCAGUGCUUACCUCUCUGGGGUAGUAGAAGUAAGGUUUGUCCGAUAGCUGAUGGUGUGAGGGCUGCGGCUAAUCAAGAGAUUCAGCUGCAUAGAGCCAUAAAAAACAUAAAAUAAAGAUGAUGGAUCUACAUGCUAUGUCACAGAGGAAUAUAGGGAUUAUACGAAUCGGAAACAAAUUGUGUCAUUAGUGAACCAAUCUUAUUAUGCACGAUCAGAUCUUUUUUUUAGAGGAAAGGCAUCGGCCGAGCCCGAGAGGAGGCUCGAACCUAGCCCGGCUUUGAAUUAACAAAGCCAUCAACCGGCCAGGAUUACAUCGAUUAACCACAUACAAGCAACAUGAAAAAGAAAGAAAAGGAAGACACUGAGGCACAACAACCUCAGGCGGCCGAUACAAGGUGCAAAACAGGACAGUGCACAAACCAAAGACUACACAAGCAGCUACCAAGAUGAAGCUGAAGAACUAAGCUUGGUCAGUCAAGGUCUUCGUCCACCGAAGCAACCACCACCGGACAAACAUCGAACUUGUGGAAAGCAACAAUGUGAAAGGAGAAGGCUCAAGUCCACUCCAGCAUGAUGAACAACCUGGGCAUAAUGAAAUCUGUCUUCGUCGCCGUAGGAGGCCACAACCUUCUCGUCGUCGGCAGGCGAAGUGGUUCCCCAAGAACCCGGAUUCACAAAUGUCAGUUGCCAUUGUGCUCCACAAGAAACUUCAGUUGCCAUGGCACAACCACGAAGGAGACGCACACUGCAGGAUAGGAACAUGAACCAAAUCGACACGGCGAGAGGUUGAUGAAGAGCAAUGCCGCCACUGCAGCCACCAAUACAUCCAAACUUGACAUCCACCCCGCAGUCCAAGGACGACGCCUUCAGGAAGGGGAAUGGUGCCGUAGCGCCGCCAUCGUCCCGAAACAGGACCAAGGUUUUCACCUAGAUGCAGGGGCAGAUUGGUGGGGGGUGGGAUACCUCAACGAAGCCUCCAAGAAGUAGUUCGACGCCGCGGCAUCGUCGUCGUUGUGGCCGCCGCCGGCGGCCAAGGGUUUCCCCCGGUCCCAGGAGCCCCACCGCCAAAACACCGCCAACCGCCGGAUCCGGCGAGCAGAGUCGCACCGGAGCUGAGAUCGAACGGGAGAAGGCGAGGAGGGUGGAGUUGGAGCUGGUCGAAUCAGAUCUGGAGGCGGACCGACGGAGGAAAUCCGGCCACCGCGAGAUCCAUCCACCGGGGCCUCGCCGCCCAAGCAAGCCGAGGUGCCCAGCCGAGCACCCGUAGCCGCCGUCCGCCGCAGGAAGCAGCGUUGCCCACCUUGACCGGGGCCGCCACCCCGGCACACCAUGCCCUGCGCGUGAGGCAGGAGCGGCAAGCCUCGCCGCCACCUUCCUCGGCGCCGCGCGGGCUUGCCGGCGGCAGUCUCCGGUGGCGGCAAGGUCUGGAGGAAGGAGGGGAGAGGCCGGCGGCGUGCUAGGGUUGGGGGCCGCCCGAGUUGCCCCAAGGGAGCGACGCGGGGGCGGGUGAGGGGGAGGGGGUCUUGAUUACGCAUGAAGGAUACUUCAUUGUGCAACGCUUCAUUAUCUCAAAAUUGCAAAGAAAAAAAUUCCACAACUUAGGUACAGUGUGUAGCAGAAACGUCUAUAGGAGGAGCGCUACUUCCGAUAUCGUUUCUGGUGGUUGUGCUGCCUGCUUGGCUGGGAUUGGUUCUGUGGCCGCCUUGGCUGGGACAGAUGACCGGGGGAGGUAGGCGACGUCGAUAUGGACGCACGGAGAGGCUUCAGCUGGCUAGGGCGGGGCAGAGGACUGGUGGAGGAACGACGCUGGAUCGACCUUGGCCGGAAUAGAAACAGAGAAGGAAGGGGAGGAUCAGGCACUGCACCGAUAAGGGGAGGCACGCUCGAGAAAAUCCCGGAGUGCCAUGGAGGAGAGCCGGACCGACGUUGUGCAGGAGAAGCCACAUGUGUAUUAUCCACCUUGGCUAUAUACCUGCACAUAUGCAUCAGAGAUAACAUGCGCGAAUUGAAUCCCUCCCGUCACCGGACGCCCGACCGGGCAGCGCGAUCGUUGAUGACACUCACUCGCGGCUGGAGGCGUUUGCUUGCCCUCGCAUGUGCGCUGCUCCUGGGAUGUGAGUCGUCACGUGUUGCGUGCUUCGUCGCUGUCGCCCGGCCGUGUGGAUGAUCCACGCUCAGAUUGACGUAGGCUACUGUCGACGUUGGAGCCGGCAGGAUCCGUGUAGUCAUGCAUUGUCUCUAGGUUGGAGUCUUCGAUUUGCUUGGAGUAGCCAUGAACACGCUCGAGAUCGGCGGCGCUGCCGCUUGCACCGACUUGUGUUGGAUUUCUUCAAUGGAAUUUUGAGGAGUGUCUGGCCUUUGAGAUGGCUCCCCAGCCGCCGCACGAAUAUAUAAGGGAAAAGAGAAGGGCUCGACGGGUUGAGGGCUCAAUCGUUUUUUCUACUUUAUUAAAGAGAGAGAGGUGGGUUGCAUAGUUUAUGUAAGUGCAUCUAGUGCCCUUUAGUUAUUUUGGUGUAUUGAAGACUUAUAGGUUAAGAGACUGAUGCGUUUGUGAGUGUACACAUGUCUAUAAGUCUAUGAGGAGUUUGAUAUUUAUAGAGAAUGUCGACCCCUAAAAAUGAAGUUCUUCGACUGAAGACUUUGAAUUUCUGAAGACUUACUGAAGACUUUGAAAGUGAACUUGAAGACUUGAUAUUUAUUUGAGGAACAUGAAGCGCGAAGACUUUUGUUUUCCUAGUUUCAUUUUCUCUUUCUUGAUUCAUAGGAAACAUCGUAUUGUUAAAGGGGGUCAAGGAAAUACUAAGGAAAAAUUUCCAUAUGAUGCUCAACUCAAAUCCUACACCUACCAAUCCGUUCGAGUGAAGCCAUUGAAAAUCUCGCAUAGUUCAGCCAUAUUCUUCAGUCACAGAGACGAAGUUCUUCUGGUCUCUAAGGAAUUUGUUCUGACUGAAGAGUUAGGAAUUCGCCAGUGCGGAUUGCCUACCAAGUGAGGAACAUGAUAGCCCUGAGGAAUUCGAACCACAAAUAUUCUGAUCGUUGCUGUGCUACACGCCAGCUGUCCCAAAAUAUCUACCCACCUAACGGUCAUAUCAGACAAGGGCAUUUAUGUCUUAUCAUGUUGGGCUGCUCCCUAGGCUAUAAAUAGCUGCCCCCUACAACCACUAGUUGGUUGGCUGCUCCGAGAGAAACUGACACUUGUCAUUUGAGAGCAACCCAUCCUCCGAGGACUUUGAGUGAAAAUCAUUAAGUAAGGAAAUCCCAAACCCAAACCUACAAAACCCCAACUGAUUGAGCAUCACUGAAAAGAUUGAUCCUUCGUGGAUCCGACGCUUGUUUCCUUUGAAGACUAUGCUUCUUUCAGACGGUUAGGCGUCAAGGUCUAGAGUAUCCAAGAGGAAUUGUGGAUCGCCGAGUGACCGAGUUUGUGAAGGUUCGGAAGUCACCUGAAGACUUACCACGAGUGAUUGGGCGAGGUCUGUGUGAACUUAGCUCAAGGAGAAUACGGUGAGGACUGUGUGUCCGGGACUGGGUGUCCUCGAGUUUAAAUACUCAGCCGCUCCAACCAAAUAUACAACUGAGACAGCAGUUGGAACUGGUAUACCAAAUCAUUGUCUUCACCGAGCUAAUUGGUUCUAUUUCCUCAACUCUUUAAAUUCCUCAUGUAUGUUGUUGUGUGCCUGUUCAUAUCUGUUUGAAGACUUUGACUGAAGACUUUCUCAAUUUCCUCAGCUCUAUUUCUUCAGUCCGUUCGUCUUCUUUCUUGUGUUAUCCUAUGUUUACGCUUUCUGUACUCUAUGCUUUUCUUAAUUUCAUCAUGAUGACCAUGCUUGUGUUCUGUUAUGUUCCUUUCUGAGUACUUAUUUCGCUGCAAGUAGUUCUUCAUUUAGGAAUUUCCUCACCAACAAAUUCCUCAGUGAAGAAUUCAUAAAAAUCGCCUAUUCACCCCCCUCUAGUCGAUAUAACGCACUUUCAAUUGGUAUCAGAACAAGGUACUCCCUUGUUCUGUGUAAUUUUGGUUUAACCACCUGGAGUUCUAGUUAUGUCGACCGCAGGUAUGAUCUAGGUCUCUGCUGGGUGUCCUACCUUCGAUGGCACGGACUACCCCUACUGGAAGAAUAAGAUGCGAAUGCAUCUUGAAGCAAUUGACAAUGAUCUCUGGUAUGUUGUGGAAAAUGGUGUUCCCUCAGUCACACCUUCCCUGAAUGCUGCUGAUGUGAAGAGAUUCAAGCAACUCGAUUCUCAAGCGAAGAAUAUCAUAUGUGGCCAUAUGAGUAAAGGGCAGUAUGGUAGAGUGAGUGCUUUGGAAAUUGCUAAGCUUAUCUGGGAUAUGCUCUCCAAAGUAAACGAAGGAGUCUCAACUCAACAUGACUCUCGUGUUGACGUUCUUCGCAAUCUCUUCAACCGCUUCAAAAGACUCGACAAUGAAAAUGUUCAGCAAACCUUCGAUCGCCUCACUGAUAUCUCAAAUGAGCUCCAAGCGCUUGGCGCCACUGACAUCACCGACCAUGAGGUGGUGAAGAAAUAUCUGAGAUCGCUCGAUUCUUCAUUUGACACUCUGGCACUGAUGAUUCAAGAGCGUGGUGAUUACAAGUCACUUGAUCCCGCUGAUAUCCUCGAGAGGCUAAACACUCAUGAGUUCCAACUUGCUGAGAAGAGAGACCUCUAUGGUCCAAGCUAUGGAAAACCACGUGCUCUGAAGGCCAACGCAGUCUCUGAGUCUGAGAAAGAAGACUCUACCAGCAGCCUUGGUGAUCCUGAAGAACUAAGCCAGGAACUAGCACUGCUCGUGAAGAAAUUUCAGAAGUUCUCAAGACGUGGUUGUUUUGGAAAAUCAUCAAGGAGCAACGAUUCCUCAUCCGGUGACUACAAGAAAAGGCUGUGCCACUAAUGCAAGAAGCCUGGUCACUACAUUCAAGAUUGUCCUCAGUGGGACAAGGAACUGAAGAAGAAGAAAUACAAGGAUUACAGUUCUGUUGACGCCAAGAAGAAGAAGAAAUCUUCAAAGUCUUCAUCAUCAAAAUCCUCAAAGUCUUCAUCUCACAAGAAGAGCAACUCCAAGAAAGCUCGGGCAUUCAUUGGCAAGGAAAUGGAUUCUGAGGCUGAAUCUGAGGAUUAUGAGGAAGAGGAGGAAUCCGAGGAGUUUGAGUCUGGUGUGGCAAGUCUAGCUCUUUCUACCGCAUUUGUCAGCAAGUCUAUCUUCAACGCUGAAGAAAAUGGCAACACCAACAAUGCUGACGAAGGCAAUGAUGACUAUGCUCCCACCUAUUGCUUCAUGGCAAAGGGUGCCAAGGUAACUAAAUACCCCUCCUCUGAAUCAAGUGAGGAUGAAUCUGAUGAAAAUCUUAAGCCUAGCUAUUCUAAACUUGCUAAGAUUGCUGUGAAACAACAAAAGGCUAUUGAAAAGCUUCAAAACAUGCUUGACAAAAGUGAUGAUAUGUUGGGUGAUGAAAUGGACCGCACUAAAGACUUAACUGAAAAUUUUUAGAGACUUCAGUCUAAGUUUGACAACCUUCAAAGUCAUCAUAAAACUCUCUUAUCUGAUCACGAGAAGCUUUCUUAUGAAUUUUUUCAAAGAAAGCAAAAUCUUGAGAAGCUAAGAGUGAGUUAUGAAGAUCUUCAGAAGGAGCGCGAUUCAUUACUUGCUCAACAAAUCAGCGCUACUCAGGAAUAAUUUGUUCCUCCAUGUCUAAAGUGCAUUGAACGUGAAUCUGCUAACUCUUCACCUGAAUGUUCAAAUGCUUCAAAUGUUACAAAUUCUUCACAUGUCUCUGCUAUCACUAAUUCCUCAUCUGAGAACAUUGCUAGUACUACUAAUGAUGCAGGGCUGAAGGAAUUGUACACGACAGGCAUGUACAAAAGCCUCAAAGGGCAUCAGAUUCUUUGUGAUGUGCUCAAAAAGCAAAUCCUCAAUAGAAACCCUAGGAAAGAGGGUAUUGCCUUUGAGAGGAAACUCAAUGCUGAUGGAACAUAUUGGAAGCCUGAGCAGUACCCCAAAACCUCAUGGGUUGCUGCAAAGGAACCUCUAGUUGAUCCAUCCAACUUAUCUAGCUUUACAUGUGAAUCUCCUCAUUCUUCUGAUGAGUCAUUUGACUGUAACUAUAAACUGUUCAAAAAUCAGAAUGGUGAAGUAUUUGCUAGAUAUAUUGGCACUAACUGCAGGAACGGUUCCCCUAUGAAGAAAAUCUGGGUUCCCAAAAGUUAUCUUGAAAGUCUUCAGGUGAAUGCCCUCAUGACACCACCUAUGAAGAACAGGAACCCCAGAUCCAAUUCUUCAUAUGGACCUAAUUCUUCACAUGGAUCAAAUUCCUCAAGUGGAUCAAAGACCUCAUAUGAUCAUCGUCAUGCUAACCCUUCUGUUUCACAGGGUAGAGCUAAGGGCUAUGAAUAUGCGCAUUAUUCUUCAAAUCAUUAUGUUCAUAAGUCCCCGAAGAAUUUCUCUGCUUAUUCAUAUGCUUACCUUAACCCCUAUUAUGUGAAACAAAGCGGACUAGCUUCUAUGCCACCUUUCUCAUAUGGUGCUCGCAGGGUGAUGAACUCUUUGCCACCCCUUCAGAUGUGGGUGGUGAAGAAAAAGAAAUAAUCUCUUAUGUAGGGUCAGGUCUCCAGACGUGCUCAAAACGUGUGAAGAAUUUGCUGGAGUCCUGAACAAUGCCUGAAAGGACGCAGGCUAAUCAUGAAGAAAUGAAUUUUCAUUUCUCACGUCCUCAUACUGUUUUAUCUGUGCUAUUGCUUGAUGAAAUCGAACUGAUGAUAUUGAUGUCAUAUUUUUCACUGAUGAAGUAUAUGAGUUCGUAAGCUGCACUAAUUCAUCUGCAGGAUGAUCAGCCCAAAGCAAACGAGUGGGUCCUCGAUAGUGGAUGUACAAAUCACAUGAAGGGUGCCAAGAAUCUAUUGAUGGAUGCUCCUUUAUCACCAUCACAUCUGAAGCAUAUCAUCUUCGCUGACAAAGGCAAAAGUCAGGUAUUGGGUCUAGGUAAGGUUGUGAUGCAAAGGAUCGACACAUUGACAAAGUCAUGCUUGUCGAGUCCUUAGGAUACAACCUCAUGUCUGUCUCAAUGCUUUGUGAUCUCGAUAUGGUUGUUGUCUUUGGAAGAUAUUGUUGUGUUGUGAUCAUGGAAGCUGACCAUUCCAAAGUCUUCGAAGGCUUUAGAAGAGGAGAUCUGUAUAUCGUUGAUUUCUCUACAGGACCACAACCAGCUGCGUGCUUACUUGCAAAAGCUUUAGAAGGCUGGCUAUGGCAUCGACGACUUGGUCAUGCUGGCAUGAGGAAUCUGAACACGCUUGCGAAGAAGAAGCAUGUCAUUGGCAUUGAGAAUGUCAAAUUCCUCAAGGAUCACUUAUGCGGAGCUUGUGAAGUUGGAAAGAUGACAAAGGCCAAGCAUCCAGCUAAGACUAUCAUGACCACCACUCGACCAUUUGAAUUGCUUCACAUGGAUCUUUUCGGUCCUAAUCAUUAUUCUAAUGUUUCAAAUGAUGCAUCUCUAUAUGGCUUUGUUAUUGUUGAUGACUAUUCUCGUUACACAUGGGUACACAUUGUCACUUACAAACAUGAAGUGCAGGAAAUCUUCAAACGAUUUUCCUUAAGGGCUUCAACCAACUUUGGUGUGAAGAUCAAGCACAUCAGAACUGACAAUGGGACCAAGUUCAAGAAUUCCGGUCUUGACGGCUAUCUUGAUGAACUUGGUAUUACUCAUGAGUUAUCUGCUCCUUAUACUUCUCAGCAGAAUGGCGUCGUGGAGCGCAAGAACAGAACCCUCACUGAAAUGGCUCGCACUAUGUGAUGAAUACAAGACGCCUCGUCGCUUCUGGAUCGAGGGAAUUGAUACUGUGUGCCACGUCAUCAACAGGGUAUAUCUUCACAAAUUCUUCAUGAAAACUGCUUAUGAACUCCUCACUGACAAAAAGCCAAAUGUGAGUUAUUUCAAAGUCUUCGGUACAAAAUGUUGGAUUAGGGAUCCUCAUCACUCAUCUAAAUUCUCACCGAAAGCACAUGAAGGUUUUAUGCUUGGUUAUGGAAAGGACUGGCACACCUACAGAGUCUUCAACAUCGUUCUUCAAAAAGUUGUUGAAACUGUAGAUGUGCGGUUCGAUGAAACUAAUGGCUCGCAAAGAGAGCACCCACCUUCUGUGAUAGAUGAACCAACACCUGAAGAUUCUAUCAAGUUCAAGGCUACUGAGGAUGUCAUUCCUACCAAAGAAACUGCUGAAGAAUUCAUUCCUGAUUGUGAUGAUUACCGAGCUGGCGCACCUGAAGAAAAUGGUGCUGAAGAAAAUGCUCCUGAAGGGAAUGCUGAUCAAUUUCCUCGAAGACAACCCACUCAUCCUUGCAUCGCUAAUGAAGUGCAAAUUGAGAAGAUCAUUAAUGACAUUGAAGCACCAGGUCCUCUCACUAGCUCAAAAUCUUCACAUCUAUCUAACUUUUGUGGGCAGUAUGCUUUUGUCUCUAUCGUAGAGCCCACUAAGGUAGAUGAAGCAUUUCUGGAGCCUGAGUGGAUUCAGGCUAUGCAUGAAGAAUUACAUCAGUUCGAGCUCAACAAUGUCUGGGAACUGGUCAAACGUCCAGAUCCUCGCAAGCACAACGUCAUUGGCACAAAGUGGAUCUACCGCAACAAGCAAGAUGAAAAUGGCCUUGUGGUGAGGAAUAAGGCACGGCUUGUAGCUCAAGGCUACACACAGGUUGAAGGAAUUGAUUUCGAUGAAACUUUUGCACCUGUUGCUAGACUUGAGGCUAUUCACAUAUUACUUGCUUACGCUAACCAUCAUGAUAUUAUCUUACAAUAAAUGGAUGUCAAAAGUGCAUUCCUCAGUGGUAAGAUUGAGGAAGAAGUAUAUGUUGCUCAGCCCCCAGGUUUUGAAGAUCCAAAGAAUCCCGACAAAGUCUUCAGACUCAACAAUGCCCUGUAUGGCCUCAAGCAAGCCCCUCGGGCGUGGUAUGACACUUUGAAGGAAUUCUUCAUGAAGAAUGGCUUCAAACCCGGUUCACUUGACCCAACUCUUUUCACUAAAUCUUAUGAUGGUGAACUGUUUGUAUGCCAAAUAUAUGUUGAUGAUAUUAUCUUCGGCUGUACUAACCAACGUUAUAGUGAUGAAUUUGCCUAUAUGAUGAGUGAAGAAUAUCAAAUGUCUAUGAUGGGAGAGUUGAAAUUCUUUUUAGGUCUUCAAAUUCGUCAACGGCGCAAUGGUAUAUUCAUAUCGCAGGAGAAAUACCUCAAAGAAGUAUUGAGGAAAUUCGGCAUGCAAGAUUGCAAAGGGGUCAAAAUUCCAAUGCCCACAAAUGGCCAUCUAUGCACUGAUGAAAAUGGUCAAGACUUCGAUCAAAAUGUAUACCACUUCAUGAUUGGCUCUUUAUUGUACCUAUGUGCAUCUAGGCCAGACAUUAUGCUUAGUGUUUGCAUGUGUGCCCGAUUUCAAGCUACACCGAAGGAAUCACACCAUAAGGCUGUGAAGCAUAUUCUUCGAUAUCUAGUUCACACACCAACACUUGGAUUAUCGUAUCCCAAGGGCUCUUCAUUUGAUAUCGUUGGAUAUUCAGACUCUGACUAUGCUGGCGAUCGCGUGGACCGCAAGUCAACGCCAGGCACAUGCCAUUUCCUCGUACAAUCUUUGGUCUGUUAGUCCUCGAAGAAACAGAACUGUGUAUCUCUCUCCACUGCAGAAGCUGAGUACAUUGCUGCCGGAUCAUGCUGUGCACAAUUAUUAUGGAUGAAGCAAACUCUCAAAGAUUAUGGCAUCGACGUGAAGAACGUGGCUCUCUACUGCGACAAUGAGAGCGCAAUCAAGAUUUCUCGCAACCUAGUUCAGCACUCGAAGACAAAGCAGAUCCAGAUUCGUCAUCAUUUUCUUCGCGAUCAUGUGUUGAAGGGCGAUAUCUCCAUCUGCCAUGCAAGAACUGAAGAUCAGCUGGCCGAUAUUUUCAUUAAGCCCUUGGAUGAGGAGAGAUUUAGCAAGUUGCGGUGUGAGCUAAAUAUCCUAGAAUCUUCGAAUGUUCUCUGAAAUAGGACACUCAUCCUAACACUUAUGCUGACUUGAUGACUUAGAUGCGCAACACACGAAGUAACGUUUUUCUUCAAUCAAUGAAGACUAACCCUCUAAGUGUGAAGAAAUUAAUGAAGAAAUUGACUCUCAGAGCCCUACGACAAUUGUACGCGGCGUCUGAAGCCAACUUUCUUAUACGGUGGGUUACGCCACCACAAAAGUUGAAAAUCUUCAAAUUUGAGUUUUUCCUCAGUUCUUGAAAUUCCUCAGAUUUUCAAGUUCUUCAACUUGCAAUAUCUUCACUAUUUCCGUCGUUUGUAUUCAGUUGAAUAUAUAUGUCCUCUACAACAUUCAAUUAUUGCUAUUUCUUCCAAUUGACUUUUUUCGCUAAGUGAAUGUGAUCGGACCCUUCCCCUCUAUGCUAAACUCAACCCAGUCUAUUCACAAAUUCUUCAUGUGUGUUCUGAUUUGAAACUCGCUCAAAAUCUUCACUAUGUCCUUGAUGGUUGAAGAAAUUGCGAACGGUAACUUAAAACUUAUCUUAUCUAAAUUUCCGGCUUUGCCGCUCAAACCGUUCCGCUUCUCACGACAAAUACUUAUCUAUUCACCCACGAUCCUACACGAUCGCCACCUCACAGUACGUGGGUGACACAUGUCAUGUGAAUGGGAAAAGCCAGGGGCACGUUCGUCCGAAAUCCUCUGGCGCACAGUUUUUCACUGUCGCUAUAAAUACCCCUGUCUUCUCUUCACUUCACUUUUACUCCGCUCGACCUGUCUCUUCCACUCGAGCUUCCCAAACCCUAGCGCCGCCACUACUUCAUUGUCGCUGGUGAGGAAGAGCUUCACUGCCUCGACCUCGUCGCCAUCGUACUCGCGCCGGUUGCGGAUUUCUUCACUCCGCCGCCGCCGUAGCUGUCUUCCUCUACCGAGUUAGGGCGCGGAAGAUCUGAACGGACGAACUUCACCUCAGUACUUCUCAGUUCGUCGUGUUCUUCACUUCGGGUAAUUAAAAGUUACUUUUAUUACCCGCUUUGAUUCAUGUGUUUUUCCUAAAAAUCUUCAAAGGUGUUUAUUCUUCAAAUCUUCACACACUAAACACCUCACAUGUUAUCUGUUCUUGAUUCAUUUCUCUAAGCAAUGAUUUCUUCAAGAUUCCUCAAUUAUGUGGAUUUUCAAAUCUGUACAACUCUGGAACCUAAUAUAAAGUAUGCUUAGUGAAAUUCUUCAAGACUCAUCGGUCAAAUUCCUCAAACCUAUUCUCUUUUGAAAAAUCUUCUGAGAACGCAUAUGACCUCUCCAAAUUCCUCACAACUAUACUCUGUUCACAGGUACAAAUGUCCGCUGCUGAAUCACUAGGUUCUCAUCAACUUAACUCAUUUGCAGCGUUCCUUGAAGAAAAGUUGCAUAUGUCUUCAGAAACCUCAGUUGUUAAUCCUCAGCUGAAGAAAAUGGCUGACAAGAAGCCAUAGAAGGGAGGAAAAAGGCCCAAGGUCAACACAGCGUUUGAAAUCCCUGAGGAUAUAUAUGCUGGAUAUUGCACUCCAGAUGAGGCCAAGUUUGGCAAGGAGGACAAGAAUCAGCGCAAAGUGCGCAUACAACGAAUUGAGAGGAGAUGGGCACGAGAAUGGAGGGAGUACAGAUAUGUUACUCCCAAGUACAUGAAGAAAUUCGCGCUCAAUCCUCCAUGAUCAAGACCUCCAUUGAGGCCUGGCCAACUGGAAGAUCCCACCAGCCUCAAGCUCGGUGAGGACUAUGCUACUGAAUGGGCUAGGCGCCAGGCAAAACUAGCCAAGCAAGCAAAAGAAGUAGUGAUGAAAUUCAAUGAAGAUUCUGCUGCUGCUGCUAACGCUGCUGAGGCAUUUGGUAGUAAGCCCACGAAGGCUAUGCCAAAGAAGCCUGCCCACAAAUGUAGUGCUUCUCCUUCAAUGCCCUCACGGCCAAGCUCCUCAGCAAUGCCCUCACGGCCAGCAUCUUCAAAGCCCUCACGGCCAAUUCCUCAGUCUGCUCCUCCUCCUCCUCCGACAAAGUCUUCAACUGCUUCGACAAAAUGUUCGGCACCUAUGCAUCUUGCCACGUGCCAAAGGACUCAAGGCUUCUCUAUUGCCUCAGGAGCAUCUGCAAGCUCCUCAGCUGCUCGACCUUCCUCAGCUGGUCCCUCACUUCUGAAGAAAAAGGCCACUUCUGGAUGAGGUACUCGACCAAGUCCUCACAAGAAGCAAGUUGCUUUCCAAGUGCCCUCUGAUGAUGAUGAGGCGGAUGAUGAUGAACUUGCUGAAAUCAUCAGAGACAGGCAAGCCAGGGCCGCUAGAGCCAAAGGCAGCAAUGUGCCACCGCUAUUGGAUCCAAAGUUGGUCCUCGACUUCAUUGACUUAUGACACAAGGACCCUAACACGCCUCUACCGGAGUUGAACCUCACUCCUGGUCAAAGCCAUGUUCUCACUCACUUCAUUGAGGAAGAGAAAUGGAAAUAUGAAGAAGGACGAAGGCUGAAGAAAGCGCAAUACAAGAAACAAGGCUUCCUCAAGGACAAUGUCCUCACUCUUACCCCUGAACAACUCAUUGUUGUACAAGCUGAAAUCAAGCAACUGAGUGAUGAUUUCAAUCGAUAUCAUGCUGAUUGGAAGGGAGCAAAGGUUCGUUUCAUCAACUUGACGAAGACUUUCUCUUCAACUGCCUCUGCACCGGUGCAUGUUGAAAUUCCUAAGGCUGAAGAAUCUGCUCAGCCCACUGAAGAACAUGCCAGCACCGCUGAUGUUAGUAUGGCUGCUGAAGAAAAUGAGAAUACCAGGGAAGAUGACUCCAUUCCAGCCGCUGAUGAUAUUGCCAGGGCAUCCACUAGUGAUGCGCCUGAGAAAAAUGAACAAGCCAGGGCAACUGAAACAGUUGAGCCUGAAGAAAAUGCACCUCCUGCGCCUACACCAACUCCUAUCCUUUCAUCUGCUCUUGAUGUGAAGAAGACCAAGGCUGCAGAACGUGCAGCGAUGAAGAAAAGGAAGGCAUCAGCUUCAUCAAAUUCUUCCGCUCCGAAGAAGAUGAAGACUCUGAUCAGUUCAAUUGACAAUCCAAUUGAUGCCGUUCCCGUCUCAUCAAUGCCAUCAAAGGACCCUGUUCCUUAUGGUGAAGACUAUGAGAUUCCCGAGGAAUCUGAUGAAGAAACUCCAUCUGCUGCUUCGACAGAGCAGUUGGACGAAGAAAUUGAAGUGGUUGCGAUCCCUUUAACCCCUGUCAUUUCCUCACCAAUGCCUCAGUUCACUGCUGAAGAGGCAGGUGUUGAAGAAAUUGACGAUGAGGAUGUGGACAUUGGAUGUACCACACCUGUGCUCAAUGAUGAAUUUUGGGACAGUCAACAUCCAAACUCACCAAUGUUCACUCCUCUCCAAGCUGUUCCUCAGUCCCCAACCACUACUGAAGUUCAAGUGGGAUCUGAUGAACCACGUUGUCGGUGUCAAAACCGGCGGAUCUCGGGUAGGGGCUCCCGAACUGUGCGUCUAGGCGGAUGGUAACAGGAGGCAAGGGACACGAUGUUUUACCCAAGUUUGGGCCCUCUUGAUGGAGGUAAAACCCUACAUCCUGCUUGAUUGAUAUUGAUAUUGUGGAUACAAGAGUGGAUCUACCACGAGAUCAAGGAGGCUAAACCCUAGAAGCUAGCCUAUGGUAUGAUUGUAAUGGUUGUUGUUGUUGUGUCCUACGGACUAGAGCCAUCCGGUUUAUAUAGACACCGGAGAGGGCUAGGGUUACAUAGAGUCGGUUACAAUGGUAGGAUAUCUACAUAUCCGUAUCGCCAAGCUUGCCUUCCACGCCAAGGAAAGUCCCAUCCGGACACGGGACGAAGUCUUCAAUCUUGUAUCUUCAUAGUCUUGGAGUCCGGUCGAUGAUGAUAGUCCGGCCGAUGAUAGUUCGGCUGAUGAUGGUAGUCCGGCUAUCCGGACACCCCCUAAUCCAGGACUCCCUCAGUAGCCCCUGAACCAGGCUUCAAUGACGAUAAGUCCGACGCGUAUAUUGCUUGGCAUUGCAAGGCGGGUUCCUCCUCCGAAUGAUAGAAGAUUGUGAACACCAAGAUAGUGUCCGGCUCUGCAAAAUAAAUUCCACAUUCCACCGUAGAGAGAAUAAUAUAUACACAAGGUCAAUCUGCUGACGUUUUUUGUGGCAUGACGUCACGCCACUACCAAGCCAUUACUUGAAUCGUUUUUUACUCUACCACCUCAGCGCAUUUAGCGAAGCGGUUUCCUUGGCACGUCUUGUCGAAGCAGAGAUCAUGUUCCCCCUUAAUCCGGGAUUCUCAUCAAUACGGACGUGGGUAACCCAACCGCGCCAUUGAUGGUGACGCUUGGGGGAUAGGCGAGUUUUACCAGGCCGGUGGGGGACGCGUAGACUUCGCCCGCCUAUAUAAGGGACAAGGAUUCACCUUUUCACCCACGCCUUCUUCCUCCUUUGCGUAUCCAUCUCCGUGCACUCGAGCUCCAGCGCCCAAGCCCGCACAUCUCGUCUCAACCUUCCCCAGUUAUGUCCUGAGCGGGAGGAAAGUGGAUGACCUCCUCCGUUACAGAGGAGCACAUCGAAAGACUGCGCAGCACCGGCUACCUGUCCGGCG